UGGGGUGUAGCUUAGUGACAGAGUGUUCACCUACCAUGUGUGAGGCACUGGGUUUGAUCCUCAGCACCACAU
rnacentral:tRNA from 1 species